rnacentral:misc_RNA from 1 species
AUGAUGGAAGUAAAGCCAAAACCUAAUUUGUUAAAAAGGGGGGAAAAAUGAUCAUGAGAAUAAUGCAGAAUCAUAAUUGGCCAACAACAGUAAAUGAUUUAAUAUGAAAAUGAGAAACAAAGUAAUCAUUAUCACUGUCAGCUAAUAAACAAAGAAAAUUUUUUUAUCAUCCUUUACAAUGAAUGCACAGCUCGGUUUUCAAAUUUGAACUACCAAGUACCAAGAGCUCACAUCGUGCAAAAGGACAGUUACAGCUUGGCAUUAUAGAUGAAAGGAUUCGCGUCAAGACAAUGACUGCCACCAAUUACGCCAAACACCAUUUCUGAAUUCUGAGCGACCCAGCUCACCUUAAUGUAACAAAAUUAAAAACAGGGAUUUGUUUCCUCACAAAAUCAAGUGGAAAUUGCUUCCAUCAUGUCAAACAUGAAAAUGGCAGAUCUGCUGUAUACAAUUUCUGCCAUUUGAAGUCAAGCUUAUGCUAUGCAAGCACAUGCAGUGUUUUUAUUAGUAGUAUGCCCUAGAGCAUAACUUGUUAUUUGUAUCUUGCAAAUAUUAAUCCUUUAAAAAGGCAUAUAUAUUUUCUUUUAAUUUAAAUUGCUUAAAUUUAAUUGAAAAUAUCCUUUAACAACUUGUUAGGUGUUCCAUUUUUAAGAUGUUAAGAAUAUGAGUAACGAAACAAUCUAGUACAAGUGUCAUAAAUUUUAGUUCACAGUCAAAGAUACAUCAGUGAGAAUGAUUUAUCCGUAUAGACUGUCAUCUUUGUUUAUUUCUCUAGAUUAGUAUGAGAUAUUAAUAAGAUGGAAUUGUGAGUCUCAUGCUAUAUAACAAAUAUAGUGGACACUUAUAAGAUAAGUAAGUUGAAUCAAUAACAUUAAAAUGAUAUGUACGUGAGGUUUACUCUUGUCAAUACAUUAUCAUAUAGAUCAUAAUAGUACAUAUAAUAUUUUGACCUGAGACAAUAUGAUUAUCUUGUAUAUAGGUAGUUGGAGUUUGAUACUGUUUACAUAUUUGUACUAGGUGUGAGUAUACGGACGUGUAUUAGCUCUGACUAGUUAUAUAUAGAGAUACGUGUUUAGUUAAAAUGGAAUCCGUUAUCCUAGGUAAAUAAGGAUAAAAUUCUAUGUCUAUCUUAAUUGUUCUUGACAAAUAAAGUUUCUGGCCAGAACAGAUAGACUUAUCCAUAAAAGUGUUUCUCAUUGAAAAGUUUUGUUAAUCAAGAAUUGGAAUUAAGAUGAGGACAUAUGAUUCUAAGCAAUUAGGGUUUGACAUAAACCAUAACCCUAGCUAAAAUCGAGAUUAUGUAACGUAGAUAUUUUAGUGCAUGGUAUGUAUGAUAAAGGUUCAUGAGUUAAGUAUAAAUUAAUUCAUCACUAGUUGGGUAAUUAUAGUGCACUAUACUAGAUGUCAAC